rnacentral:lncRNA from 1 species
CGCGUGUGUUGUAGCUCUGUCAAUCCUUGGAUUAGAACCAAUGAUUGCAGCUCGUAGGAGGGCUGUCCAGGGCCAGAUUGUACGAUGUGUCUCACUGCCAGAGUAUGAGGAGAGAUAAUUACUGAGAAGUCACACUCUCCCAUCCUUGGCUUUCUUGUGGUGUCCUUCAGCAAAACAGUGGAUUUAAAUCUCCUUCCACCAGCUCGAGAGCAACGCAAUCUGUCAGGAAAGAAAGAAAGAGAAAACCGAACCUGACAAAAAAGAAGAAAAAGAAGAAGAAAAAAAAUCAUGAAAACCAUCCAGGCAAAAAUGCACAAUUCUAUCUCUUGGGCAAUCUUCACGGCGCUGGCUGCUCUGUUUCUCUUUCAAGAUCCAAAUCUGACCUGAGUCUUUGCAGCUGGCCUUGCAGCAUCCCCUUCAGGGGUGCUCCUCUGGGUGUGAAUCCGUGGCAGGAUUUUAAUAAGAAAAGAUGGAGAAGAAGAUGGAACAGUCACCCAGGUGGGAGAGGACGGCCCUGGAAAAUCUCUCCCCCGUCUCCCUCCCAAGCCUGUGUGUUUCAUUAAAAUAUGUAUGACAACAUUUCUCCUAAUAUUGUUGCAUUACACCAUCCUUAAUUACAUAAUUCAACAUUUUCAAGGGUAUUUGGAGGAAAUUUGGACGGUUCAUUGACUGGUAUUUGAAGGAAGCUGAGAAUUAAAUUAGAAAACAUGAG